CCUGCGGGUGGCUGCAGUGGGGAAUAUUGGACAAUGGGCGAAAGCCUGAUCCAGCCAUGCCGCGUGUGUGAAGAAGGCCUUCGGGUUGUAAAGCACUUUCAGUGGGGAAGAAAGCCUUGGGGCUAAUACCCUCGAGGAAGGACAUCACCCACAGAAGAAGCACCGGCUAACUCCGUGCCAGCAGCCGCGGUAAUACGGAGGGUGCGAGCGUUAAUCGGAAUUACUGGGCGUAAAGCGCGCGUAGGCGGUCUGAUAAGCCGGUUGUGAAAGCCCCGGGCUCAACCUGGGAACGGCAUCCGGAACUGUCAGGCUAGAGUGCAGGAGAGGAAGGUAGAAUUCCCGGUGUAGCAGUGAAAUGCGUAGAGAUCGGGAGGAAUACCAGUGGCGAAGGCGGCCUUCUGGACUGACACUGACGCUGAGGUGCGAAAGCGUGGGUAGCAAACAGGAUUAGAUACCCCUGUAGUC
rnacentral:rRNA from 1 species